rnacentral:tRNA from 1 species
AGCCCUGUAGUUGAAAAUCAACGGUGAGUUGCAGCCUCACAAAUGGAGGAUUUUAGUUCCCCCAGGGUUU